rnacentral:sRNA from 1 species
GAGAGAGCAAGCCGCACUCCUCGCUAGA